CAGGGCCUCUGUAUCUCCCUCUGCAGAUGGAUCCUUGACUUCCUAACUGGAAGACAACAAUCUGUGUGGAUUAGUGAUAAUAUCUCCUCCUCACUGACAGACAAACAGACAGACAUACUUUAUUGAUCCCGAGGGAAAUUGGGUUUCGUUACAGCCGCGCCAACCAAGAAUAGUGAAGAAAUAUAGCAAUAUAAAACCAUAAAUAAUUGAAUAAUAAGUUAAUCAUGCCAAGUGGAAAUAAGUCCAGGACCAGCCUAUUGGCACAGGGUGUCUGACACUCCAAGGGAGGAGUUGUAAAGUUUGAUGGCCACAGCGGUUUGAUCGGGGCACGACUGUGCAAGUGCGUGGACGUCAACCGGUGAGAGCAGCAAGAAGAGUUUAAAAGGAGACAGCUUUACAGAGCGGGCAACUGUGUAGAAGGAGACCGAGCAGGAAGACUCUGGUUCAGUGGGGCUUCGGCGAUAACAUGUCGAGGUGAGGAGCUGUGGAGCGGGACACAAGGAAAGAUGCCGCAGAAUGCCAUAGGAAGGAGAGCAUCCAUUGCAAGAGGUGCUUUGUGCAGAUGAAUGACUCCAAGGAGGAAGGGCCAAUACUCGGGAGAGAGCCAGUUCAUUCAAGAUGGUCUUCAAGGAAAGUUUAGAAUAUGGCAGGUGCUUUCACGCAGACUGUGGGUCCAAUGCAUGAGUAAAGUGCACCAAUCGUGAGUUGGAGAGCUACGAAAGAGGAGGCGGUGCACAGGUCCUGGGGUGAUGUUUAAAAGGGGAAAACUUCAUGAGAACUCAGCUAUAACCAGAGCACCAGUUAUGUGUUGGAGAACAGGGAAGGUUCAGGCAUAAAAAGAAGGCACUGCCUGGCAAAGCGGUCAUCGACGGAGUGGUCUAAGUCAGAGUGGUAGGGCUUUAGGUAAUUCAGGCUUCGGCAAGGUAAGUGGGUAAGUGGACUUCAUUUUUUUCCUUGCAUUUUUUGAGGAAUAGAGAGCAUGUCUGUAGGGUUAGUACUUCGCUCUGAGUGUCAGACGUGGGAAUCCUGGGAAUCUUCCCAUCUCCCAGAUGACCACAUCUGCGCCAGGUGCACCUAGAUGCAGCUUCUGAGAGACUGUGUUAGGGAUCUGGAGCUGCGGCUUGAUGACCUACAGCUUGUGAGGGUAUGUGCCAGGAGAUAGAUAGGAGCUACAGGGAGUUAGUCACCCCAAGGGUGCAGGAAUUAGACAAGUGGGUGACUAUCAGGGAAGGGAAGGAAAGAGCUCAGAUAGUAGAGAGCACCCCUAUGGCCAUUCCCCUCAGUAAUCGUUAUCACAUUUUGGACACUAUUGAGGGGGAUGACCUGAAAGAGGCGACCACGGCGAUCAGCACUGAGUCUGUUUCCAUGGUGCAGAAGGGAGAGGAUGAGGAAUGUGGUGGUCAUAGGGGAUUCCAUAGUGAGGGAAACAGACAGGAGGUUCUGUCAGCCUGAUAGAGAUACCCGCAUGGUGUGUUGCCUCCUAGGUGCCAGGGUACGGGAUGUCUCGGAUCGGGUGCAGAGUAUUCUGAGGGGAGAGGGUGAACAGCCAGAACUCUUGGAACCCGUUGGUACCAACGACAAAGGUAGAAAAACAGAGCAGGUCCUGAAGAGAGAAUUCAGGGAUUUAGGUAGGAAGCUGAAAAGCAGGACCCACAGGGAAGAAAUCUCAGGAUUGCUGCCUGUGCCAUGUGAUAACGAGCACAAGAAUAGCAUGAUCAGGCAUGUUAAUGUGUGGCUGAGAGACUGGUGUAGGGGGCAGUGCUUCACAUUCCUGGAUCACUGGGGCCUCUUCUGGGGGAGUUACAACUUGUACCAAAAGGACAGGUUACACCUAAACCCAAAGGGGUCCAAUAUCGUAGCAGGCAGGUUUAAUAGAGCUCUUAGGGAGGGUUUAAACUAAUUUGGCAGGGGGAUGGGAACUGGAGUGAUAGGGCUGAGGAAGGGGAAAACAGAAAUAAAUCAAAGAUAGCGUGCAAAUGAGAUGAUAGAAAGGACAGGAAGGAAAUGAGGCAUUAUCACAGCCAGUGGCAUGAGUUACAGGGCAAUAGAGGUGUGUUGCAGUUAAAACAGAAAGUAACAAAUACUGGACUGAAAGUAUUCUACUUGAAUGCACGCAGCAUAAGGAAUAAAAUGGACGAUCUUGAAAUUCAUAUUCAGAUUGGCAAGAAUGACGUUGUGGCCAUCUCUGAAACUUGGCUAAAGGAUUACUGACAUUGAGAGCUGAAUGUCCGAGGAUAUACGGUGUAUCAGAAAGAUAAGUUAAUAGGCAGAGGAGGUGGAUUGGCUCUGUGUAUAAGAAAUAAUACUAAAUCAUUAGAAAGAGAUGACAUUGGAUUGGAAGGUGCAGAACCUCUAUGGGUUGACUUAAGAAAUGGAAAGGGUAAAAGGACCCUAAUGGCAGUUGCAUACAGGCCUCCAAACAGCAGCCAAGAUUGUGGAUUACAAAUUACAGCAGGAGAUAGAAAAGGCGUGUCAGAAGGGCAAUGUCAUGAUAAUUGUUGGGGAUUUUAACAUGAAAGUGGAUUGGGAAAACCAGGCCAGGUCAGAGAGUGAAUUUGUAGAAUGUCUAAGGGAUGGCUUUUUAGAACAGCUUGUUGUUGAGCCCACUAGGGCGCGGGUCGGCAACCCGCGGCUCCGGAGCCACAUGUGGCUCUUUUACGUCUGUGCUGCGGCUCCCUGUUGCUUUGGGAAAUAAUUGGUUGUGGCGACCCUUUUCCUGGCAAAUCCGAACCGACUCACAAUUAGAUAGCCUACGGGGGUUUGCGAGCACAGAGCUUUGGAGCCUCUGCGCCAUGGGGGGCAGGUUGAGGGAGGCUUAAA